rnacentral:rRNA from 1 species
AUGCACGCUAGCGACAGGCUUAACACAUGCAAGUCGAGGGGCAGCACAGGUAGCAAUACCGGGUGGCGACCGGCGCACGGGUGAGUAACGCGUAUGCAACUUACCUAUCAGAGGGGGAUAACCCGGCGAAAGUCGGACUAAUACCGCAUGAAGCAGGGGUCCCGCAUGGGGAUAUUUGCUAAAGAUUCAUCGCUGAUAGAUAGGCAUGCGUUCCAUUAGGCAGUUGGCGGGGUAACGGCCCACCAAACCGACGAUGGAUAGGGGUUCUGAGAGGAAGGUCCCCCACAUUGGUACUGAGACACGGACCAAACUCCUACGGGAGGCAGCAGUGAGGAAUAUUGGUCAAUGGCCGAGAGGCUGAACCAGCCAAGUCGCGUGAGGGAUGAAGGUUCUAUGGAUCGUAAACCUCUUUUAUAAGGGAAUAAAGUGCGGGACGUGUCCCGUUUUGUAUGUACCUUAUGAAUAAGGAUCGGCUAACUCCGUG